ACAGCAGUAGCCACGGUAAUACGUAGGUGGCAAGCGUCGCCCGGAAUUAUUGGGCGUAAAGGGCUCGCAGGCGGUUUCUUAAGUCUGAUGUGAAAGCCCCUGGCUCAACCGGGGAGGGUCAUUGGAAACUGGGAAACUUGAGUGCAGAAGAGGAGAGUGGAAUUCCACGUGUAGCGGUGAAAUGCGUAGAGAUGUGGAGGAACACCAGUGGCGAAGGCGACUCUCUGGUCUGUAACUGACGCUGAGGAGCGAAAGCGUGGGGAGCGAACAGGAUUAGAUACCCCUGUAGUCCCUGUCUCUUAUAC
rnacentral:rRNA from 1 species